UUGUUUCAUCACCAUUGAUCACCAUAACCAGUAUUAUCUUCAUUCUUUGUUCUUUUUGAGGGAGUCAUUCGACUCAAAUGAAGCUUUUUUCCCCCUUUUUUCUUGAAGGUUUAUUGAAUGGAAAGAUUGUUGUUGUAGUGCUUGUUUUAAUGUCAACGUGGAAAAAGAUGAGUCGCAGAAGCCAUUUUGCAGGGAUGGUCAUUUCCAACAUUCCAUAAGAUCAAAGGCUUGUGAAGCUCUUUCACAUUUUCCUUUCGCCAUUUCUCUCUAUGCUGGGUACAGUAUUCUCAACUUACAAAAUUGUUUGGUUCAGUUUGGGAAAUUCAAGAUAUAGAGACAAAUAUUCUGAUUUUGUGACACUGAAAAAAACCCCAGGAUUCAUGGAGAGGUAGCUAUGUCAAAUCAGCCAAGUUGGGUUAACCAUGGCAAUCCCUCUGGUUCACAGUCUUCAAAUGUGGUAGUUGUCACUCUUUUCACCUUCUUUUGGCCAGUUUCCAAUGCAAAACAGAUAGAAAUGAGAAAAUAUGGUAGUCGGAUUCAAGUGAAAGUAAAAAAAUGUGAAAAUAAACCCAAAAUAUACAUGUUUAGUUUCUUCAAGUUUUCCAUAUAUAUGGAGGAUGAUAUCUCUAUAUCCAUUCCCAUAUAUGUGUCAGAUUCCAGUAUUUAUUUCAAGAAAAAUGAAGAGUCAAAUUAAGCAGUUUUAGCUUUCUCAAGAUGCAAAUGUGGGCUGUCAUGCCUGGUUUAAGAAUGUUUAAAAACCACUUACAUGCAUUGACUACUUGAAUUGUAGUUUUUUACCUUAUAUAUGACAAUAAUUUGUCUGAAGAUGUUGCUUCUACGGUGUCCAUAUUUUGAUAUGAUCAAUGAGUUUUCUGCAGGAAAUGACAGGAACCCGAGUUCUGAUCCCAGUUUUCAGUGGUCUUAUCGAGCUCUUCACUUCG
rnacentral:lncRNA from 1 species